rnacentral:rRNA from 1 species
UAUUGGACAAUGGGCGCAAGCCUGAUCCAGCCAUGCCGCGUGGAUGAUGAAGGCCCUAGGGUUGUAAAGUCCUUUCGGCGGGGAAGAUAAUGACGGUACCCGCAGAAGAAGCCCCGGCUAACUUCGUGCCAGCAGCCGCGGUAAUACGAAGGGGGCUAGCGUUGCUCGGAAUCACUAGGCGUAAAGCGCACGUAGGCGGCUUUUUAAGUCAGGGGUGAAAUCCUGGAGCUCAACUCCAGAACUGCCUUUGAUACUGAGAAGCUUGAGUCCGGGAGAGGUGAGUGGAACUGCGAGUGUAGAGGUGAAAUUCGUAGAUAUUCGCAAGAACACCAGUGGCGAAGGCGGCUCACUGGCCCGGUACUGACGCUGAGGUGCGAAA